GACGAACGCUGGCGGCGUGCCUAAUACAUGCAAGUCGAGCGCAGGAAACUGACGGAACUCUUCGGAGGGAAGGCAGCGGAAUGAGCGGCGGACGGGUGAGUAACACGUAAGGAACCUGCCUCAAGGAUUGGGAUAACUCCGAGAAAUCGGAGCUAAUACCGGAUAGUUCAUCGGACCGCAUGGUCCGUUGAUGAAAGGCGCUUCGGCGUCACCUUGAGAUGGCCUUGCGGUGCAUUAGCUAGUUGGGGGGGUAAUGGCCCACCAAGGCGACGAUGCAUAGCCGACCUGAGAGGGUGAUCGGCCACACUGGGACUGAGACACGGCCCAGACUCCUACGGGAGGCAGCAGUAGGGAAUCUUCCACAAUGGACGAAAGUCUGAUGGAGCAACGCCGCGUGAGUGAUGAAGGUUUUCGGAUCGUAAAACUCUGUUGUAAGGGAAGAACACGUACGAGAGGAAAUGCUCGUACCUUGACGGUACCUUACGAGAAAGCCACGGCUAACUACGUGCCAGCAGCCGCCGUAAUAC
rnacentral:rRNA from 1 species